CCUACGGGAGGCAGCAGUGGGGAAUUCUUACCAGAGGCAGCAAUCCGGAAUAUUCAACAAUGGGCGGAAGCAUGAUCCAGCAAUGCCGCGAAGUCGAAGAAGGUCUUAGGAUAAUAAAGUCCUUUUUGCGGUGACGAUGAUGACGGUACCCGCGGAGUAACCUCCGGCUAAUUUCGUGCCAGCAGCCGCGGUAAUACGAAGGGGCCUAGCGUUGCUCGGAACGACUGGGCGUAAAGGGCGCUUAGGCGGACGUCACAUUCAUGCGUGAAUUUCCUGGGCUCACCCUGGAGAGUGCGUGUGAGACGUGUCGUCUUGAGUAUGGAAGAGGGUUGUGAAAUUUCCAGUGUAGAGGUGAAAUUCGUAGAUUUUGGAAAGAACUCCGGUGGCGAAGGCGCCACCCUGGUCCAUUCCUGACGCUGAGGCGCGAAAGCGUGGGGAGCAAACAGGAUUAGAUACCCUGGUAGUCCCCGCUGUAAACGAUGUGUGCUGGAUGUUGGGGUGCACAGCACUUCAGUGUCGUAGCUAACGCGGUUAAGCACACCCGUCCUGGUGACCG
rnacentral:rRNA from 1 species